rnacentral:rRNA from 1 species
GGCAAGCGUUGUUCGGAAUUACUGGGCGUAAAGGGCUCGUAGGCGGCCCGCUAAGUCGAACGUGAAAUCCCCAGGCUCAACCUGGGAACUGCGUCCGAUACUGGCAGGCUUGAAUCCGGGAGAGGAAUGUGGAAUUCCAGGUGUAGCGGUGAAAUGCGUAGAUAUCUGGAGGAACACCGGUGGCGAAGGCGGGUCUCUGGGCCGAUACUGACGCUGAGGAGCGAAAGCGUGGGGAGCGAACAGG